rnacentral:rRNA from 1 species
AGAAUCAACGCUGGCGGCGUGCCUAACACAUGCAAGUCGAACGGGAAAGUGGAGCAAUCCAUGAGUAUAGUGGCGACCGGGUGAGUAACACGUGACUACCUACCCUUGAGUGGGGGAUAACCUCGGGAAACCGAGGCUAAUACCGCAUAACAUCGAAAGAUCAAAGGAGUAAUCCGCUUUUGGAGGGGGUCGCGGCUGAUUAGCUAGUUGGUAAGGUAAUGGCUUACCAAGGCGAAGAUCGGUAUCCGGCCUGAGAGGGCGCACGGACACACUGGAACUGAAACACGGUCCAGACUCCUACGGGAGGCAGCAGUGGGAAUUUGCGCAAUGGGGGAAACCCUGACGCAGCAACGCCGCGUGGAGGAUGAAGCCCUUGGGGCGUAAACUCCGUUUCGACCGGGACGAUAAUGACGGUACCGGUGGAAGAAGCACCGGCUAACGUCUGCGCCAGCAGGCCGC